rnacentral:rRNA from 1 species
AUUGAACGCUGGCGGCAUGCCUUACACAUGCAAGUCGAACGGUAACAGGUCUUCGGAUGCUGACGAGUGGCGAACGGGUGAGUAAUACAUCGGAACGUGCCUAGUAGUGGGGGAUAACCACUCGAAAGAGUGGCUAAUACCGCAUGAGAUCUACGGAUGAAAGCAGGGGAUCGCAAGACCUUGUGCUACUAGAGCGGCCGAUGGCAGGUUAGGUAGUUGGUUGGAUAAAAGCUUACCAAGCCGACGAUCUGUAGCUGGUCUGAGAGGACGAUCAGCCACACUGGGACUGGGAGACGGCCCAGACUCCUACGGGAGGCAGCAGUGGGGAAUUUUGGACGAUGGGCGAAAGCCUGAUCCAGCAAUGCCGCGUGCAGGAUGAAGGCCUUCGGGUUGUAAAUUGCUUUGGUACGGAACGAAAAGCCCCGGGUUAAUACCCUGGGGUCAUGACGGUACCGUAAGAAUAAGCACCGGCUAACUACGUGCCAGCCGCCGCGGUAA